ACUCCUACGGGAGGCAGCAGUGAGGAAUAUUGGUCAAUGGGCGCAAGCCUGAACCAGCCAUCCCGCGUGCAGGAUGACAGUCCUAGUGAUUGUAAACUGCUUUUAUUUACCAAGAACGACAGAUACGAGUAUUUGUAUGACGGUAGUAAAUGAAUAAGCAUCGGCUAACUCCGUGCCAGCAGCCGCGGUAAUACGGAGGAUGCAAGCGUUAUCCGGAUUUAUUAGGUUUAAAGGGUGCGUAGGCGGAUUAAUAAGUCAGUGGUGAAAGUCUGUAGCUUAACUAUAGAAUUGCCAUUGAUACUGUUAAUCUUGAGUUCGGUUGAGGUAUGCGGAAUGUGUAAUGUAGCGGUGAAAUGCAUAGAUAUUACACAGAACACCAAUUGCGAAGGCAGCAUACUAAGCCGUUACUGACGCUGAUGCACGAAAGCNGUGGGGAGCGAACAGGAUUAGAUACCCUGGUAGUC
rnacentral:rRNA from 1 species